rnacentral:rRNA from 1 species
AUUGAACGCUGGCGGCAUGCUUUACACAUGCAAGUCGAACGGUAACAGGCCUUCGGGUGCUGACGAGUGGCGCACGGGUGAGUAAUGCAUCGGAACGUACCCAGAGGUGGGGGAUAACGCAGCGAAAGCUGUGCUAAUACCGCAUGUGAUCUGAGGAUGAAAGCGGGGGACCGAGCAGCAAUGUUUGGCCUCGCGCCUUUGGAGCGGCCGAUGUCGGAUUAGCUAGUUGGUGGGGUAAAGGCCUACCAAGGCGACGAUCCGUAGCUGGUCUGAGAGGACGACCAGCCACACUGGGACUGAGACACGGCCCAGACUCCUACAGGAGGCAGCAGUGGGGAAUUUUGGACAAUGGGCGCAAGCCUGAUCCAGCAAUGCCGCGUGCGGGAAGAAGGCCUUCGGGUUGUAAACCGCUUUUGGCAGGAACGAAACGGUGUCCGCUAAUACCGGGCGCUAAUGACGGUACCUGCAGAAUAAGCACCGGCUAACUACGUG